UACGGAGGGGGCGAGCGUUGUCCGAAUUUACUGGGCGUAAAGCGCACGUAGGCGGGUUAGCAAGUCCGCUGUGAAAGCCCGGAGCUCAACUCCGGCGGGUCGGUGGAUACUGCUAGUCUUGAAGUUGUCAGGGGGAGAUGGAAUUACCAGUGUAGCGGUGAAAUGCGUAGAUAUUGGUAGGAACACCAGUGGCGAAGGCGGUCUCCUGGAACAAUCUUGACGCUGAGGUGCGAAAGCUGGGGGAGCAAACGGG
rnacentral:rRNA from 1 species